CGUAAGUAGUUUAAUAUUAAUAAUAAUAAUAAUAGUAGUAAGUAGUUUAAUAUUAAUAAUAAUAAAGAGAAUGUUUUUUUUCUGUAUUAACUUAUCUUUUUAAAAUACAAUAUUUAGCUACAAGCAAAAAGACAUGCCAAGAGUAUGUCUCAGAAUUAAAUUUAAGGGAUGUAAUUUAGAUCGUGAAAAUCUGCAGAGAUCUGUUUUCCUAUCUCAAAUCAACAACAGUAAAUAUAUAAUUACUGUCAAUAAUAACAACACUGUAUCGUGGCAAGAAACAUUUAACUUGUAUAGUAUAACUAUAGCCUUUUGCAGUAAUAAAGCGAUUCCAAAAAUAUAUAAUCUGGAAGUGCACUUGUAACCAGUGAAUAACUAUGAGUCACUAAAACAAAAUCAACUUAAAUAAGCUUGUAGCUAUGCCCCUUAAUCUGUGAAUUUUAAUAAUAAAUUAUUGAAGUAACACUGACUUAACUGUGAUAUGCUAGUUGACAGCUGAUACCGAUUUCAGAUUAAUAAUAGGUAUCAUAAAUUUUAAUACCUACAAAUCUCAAUAACAACUCAAUUAUAUUUAUACACGAUUACGGUGAAUAAAGGCAUUUGCAACAAUGAAUAUAAACGAACAUAGACUGACAAUAAUCAAUGUGAAAGUAGCACACAAAAUAAUAUUGAUGUCUUUCACACCAAAAUAAAAGUAAAAAGUCUUACCCAAACAAUUGGCAAAGAACAUUUGGAAGCUCGGGCAUUUUUAUGUAUUUAAUUCACUGUUCGAAACGAGUUCAAUAUAUAAGGAUACUUGGAUACUGAGCUAAACGCUAACUGGAAGACGUCCUUAUAGCUGCUUACUAACACCACCGUGACGACCGAUACCAUAAGAUAAAGAUAUUCAUGUACAUUGUACUAUGUACAUACAUAUAUUGCUCAUACACUCUGGACCAUCUGUUUAAGAACAAGAGAUUUUUUAAAUUUGUUGAAUUAGUUUU